CUGGGUUCUUUGAGUCUGCUUCCAUUUUCACUUCUUGGCACUGCCUGUUCAACAUGCCCGAGUGCUGUGAACGUUAUGAGAGGGCCUUGUUGGGAACACGUGCUCCUGGGAAUCAGCCCUUCCCUCUGUCCUGUUCCCACUCCUCCCCGACGAUGCUCCUGCUCAGAACCCACUCCUCACCUCAGUGAAGCAACGCAGCGGGCACCCUGUGGACAAAGCUGGAUAUUGGCUCUGAAUAAAAGCGAAUCAUGGGGAAAAUCAGUGUCUCAGUAAAAUGGGGUUUUCUUAGUAGAGACCAGACUGUGAAGGACCUUGCUUCAUUCCAUCUUUGAGGAGGAUGAUGAUUCAGGGACAUUGGCCCAAGAUCAAAGUGGUAUUUUUAGGUUGUAUUUACUUAGCUAUUUGCCGUCUACCUCCUUAUUUCCAGGUAGCAACUUCCUUCUUAUAUCUGAGAUGUUUAAGAGAUGAUGAAACCAGCUUGCACACACUUCUCAAAGUGUGUUUGUUCGCAUCCAUUAUUUCACUGGGGACCGGCUAUUAUCCUCUCCAUUUUCUUUAUAAGGAUAUUGAAAGAGAGAUUAAAUAACUUGUUCAAGGCCGCAUAGCUAGUUAACAGCUGAACUAGGCUUAAAACCAACGUCUGAAGGCUCCUAUUCCAGUGGCAGCUGCUGUGUGCUUCUUCUGUUUUCCAUCAGUUUGGAAGGGAGCAUAAAGUCUACAGCCACAUGGGUGGGGUCAGCAGAAAGAUUGACCACCAAGCCUGAGGCAGGUGAGGCUGAUCUCCUGGGCACAGCCUCUCUGCACAGGAGUUCACAGAAGUGAUAUGAUCCAAAGUUGCUGAGGGAAAAGCCCUUAUUUGUGGAAUUAACGGCAGGUCUCUCUUGAGGUCAGAAUGAAUGUUAUUGACAUUAUUGUUUGUAUUGUGGUAAGGUAUACAUAAUGGAAAAUGUACCAUUUUGGCUGGACAUGGUGGCUCACGCCUGUAAU
rnacentral:lncRNA from 10 species